GAUGAACGCUGGCGGCGUGCUUAACACAUGCAAGUCGAACGGAGCACCCCUGAAGGAGUUUUCGGACAACUGAAGGGAAUGCUUAGUGGCGGACGGGUGAGUAACGCGUGAGUAACCUGCCUUGGAGUGGGGAAUAACAGCUGGAAACAGCUGCUAAUACCGCAUAAUAUGUCUGUGUCGCAUGGCACUGGACAUCAAAGAUUUAUCGCUCUGAGAUGGACUCGCGUCUGAUUAGCUAGUUGGUGGGGCAACGGCCCACCAAGGCGACGAUCAGUAGCCGGACUGAGAGGUUGGCCGGCCACAUUGGGACUGAGACACGGCCCAG
rnacentral:rRNA from 1 species